rnacentral:rRNA from 1 species
UACGAAGGGGGCUAGCGUUGCUCGGAAUCACUGGGCGUAAAGCGCACGUAGGCGGAUUGUUAAGUCAGGGGUGAAAUCCUGGAGCUCAACUCCAGAACUGCCUUUGAUACUGGCGAUCUUGAGUCCGGGAGAGGUGAGUGGAACUGCGAGUGUAGAGGUGAAAUGCGUUGAUAUCGGAAGGAACGCCGGUGGCGAAAGCGACGGGCUGGACCUCUUCUGACGCUGAGGCGCGAAAGCGAGGGGAGCAAACGGG